GUGUUUGUUUACACAGCACCACUAUUUGGUAGAGCAUGAGACUCUUAAUCUCAGGUCCAUGGGUUUGAGCCCCAUGUUGGGCCACA